rnacentral:rRNA from 1 species
GGGCCCGCACAAGCAGUGGAGCAUGUGCUUUAAUUCGUAACAACGCGCAAAACCUUACCAGUCCUUGUAUGUAAAUGAUUUUUCUCAGUACCGAGAAAAAAUACUUUAUACAGGUGCUGCAUGGCUGUCGGCAGUUCGUGUCGUGAGAUGUCGGGUUAAGUCCUAGAACGAACGAAACCCUUAUUUGUGUUGCUCUUUGGAAGCAAUUUUCUUUCAAAGCACUCUCAAAAAACUGCCAGUGAUAUACUGGAGGAAGGAAGGGAUGACGUCAAGUCAGCAUGGCCCUUAUGGGCUGGGCUAGACACGUGCUACAAUGGCACUGACAAUAGGAAGCUAAGAUGAGAGUCUGCGCGAAUCCUCAAACAGUGUCUCAGUUCGGAUUGUUCUCUGCAACUCGAGAACAUGAAGUUGGAAUUGCUAGUAAUCG